AUCGUACCUGUAUGUGCCAUAAAAUUCAAGGAACAUGCAAAAGAAUUAGCAGUAAGACCUGGAAUAGUAUAAUUGCUUGACUUCUGUCCUUCCAGCACUUGAAUUUGCUAUUUCUUUUACAGAUACAACAUGUAUGUUCGCAGAGUUCAAUUCUAAAAAUUAUUUAUUAUAUAUAUUUUCUCAGUCCUGUUCAUUUUUAUAUUUGUAGUGAGUCACUAAGUUUAACAUUCUUGGUGAUUAGACUUUAUUUUGUCUUACGUCUUUUGUAGAUUUACCUACCCCUUGAUUGCUUUGUCUAGUAUAAUACAAUUGUUUGUGUUAGUGUUUAUCUUGGUACAACCAGUCCACCAAACAUACGUGAUAAAAUCACAAAUUAAGUUAUAUCACUAAUUAAAGAUUACAUCAACACAUGGGUCUGGUCGGUAAGACCAUCAAUUGGAUGGUGGUAAAGGUAAUUGAUUAUUUGAUUGAUCUUAAUAGAAAUGAUUAAAUGUAACAAGUAUUUGUGGUAAGUGAUCUCUCAAUUGUUGUACCUUUCAUAAAAGCUGGUUGUUGCUGCCCCAUGGAUGAUAAUAUCGAUCUCUUCACACAGGUCCUCGAGUCUGGAGCUAUCGAGGCCGAAGUCACGAGUCCCCACGUCUCCAGCGAGAGGAACUAUCUUCUCUUUGAUGAGCUUCUGGAAGCCAGCAAGCCCAUGCUUCUCUCGAAGGGUGUUGAACAGAUCCUUCCCCAGUACCUGCACGCAGGAAAUUAUGACCAAUUGACUAAAUGACUACCAAGGAGGUUAGUAACUACCAACUACACUUGUAAGGUUUGACCCUUUCAUAUGUGGCAUGACAUUUGUAGCUGUGGACUGCUGUGACACGGUUUUGACUUACCUGGGACAGGAUACGCUGCUCGGCGGAGGCUGCAUCCGGUGCGCGCACCAAUAGGUAGAGCUUCUUCACGUCCGGCUGAACCCUCAGUAUCUUCUCCACCAGCACUGCAUGUAUACGUGAAUGCAGGUAAGGAAUUUAUGUAAAUGUACACAUGCAGCAUAUAUCUAUCUUUUGUACAUAUAUAGUCAUACAUUUUCCGAGGAACCCAGUUGAGCCGGUGACGAGAAUGGUCUUGUCCCGGAAACACCCAGCCACCGCAACAGCGUCCAUGGCGAGCUACCGUGAUAUGUGGAUCGAGAUUGAUGAACCUGAAUAUAUCGGAGAUGUUGGUUUUUCUUGGAAGCUAGAGAAAUGGAGUCAAGCCAGCCAGGACGUGGCUGUGCUUUUGCUGGGGGUAGCUUAAUUAGGACCUUUGGAUGCAUGGCUGCUACAUAUAGUGGACUGAGAAGCUACGUGGAUUAGCAUUUUGGUUGGGCUUUGAGCUGUACUCAGACAAGAGACAAGUUUACGUCACUAUUGGAAUGAGUGAGAGAAUGAAGGCCUCCCUCUAGACAGGUGCCUGUCUAUGUCGUGCACUUUAUAGAGUGUAUUAUCAUGGGGACUCGUGGAGGUUCCAGAUCAAGCUCCCAGUUUGUGCCAACUGCCAA